AGAAGACAAAGAUGUAGAUGGGCUGAAACUUUCCAACCUAACAUUUGAUCAGAUCUGAUUCUCUGAACUGUUUGCUUUCUUUCUGAUGUCAAGUGGUACUUGUCCCUCCUCAGCUGCAGGUCGAGUUGAUGAGGAGGCAGGCAAGUUCAUCAGGCGGCAUUCUAAGGAAAAUAGCAGCCCUGCUGAGCUCAUUUCAGGGCGCGAACAGAAGGGGGCCGAGAAGGAUGUUACUUAUUAACUGUGAAACACAGACUGUGGAGCCGGUUUUUGUUUGGCAACAACACAUCCUUUGAAUUCCCAGUGAUUGCGGAACUGUAAGGCUUUCUUCUGGCGGGAUUAUUCUGACCCCUCUCCCUCCUUCCUGCGCUGUGGGUGUGAAGAGGGAUAUGUAAAUGACUGGUGCUUUCAAGAGCCAUCAGCCCUUCCACUUUAGCCUGUAGGAGAAGCUAAUUCAGGAAGGAUGCGAUUCAUUUCCAGCCUUUGACAAGUCCAUGUCAUGAAAACCCAAUUAUGAUCUUUUGCUGUAGGAAAAGAUUUAUUAUCAAUUUGCAACAAUGUACCACAUGACCACUUUAAAUAGACAGUUUCCCGUGUGCAUUUUAUAUCUUCUUCUUCUUCUUUUUUUUUCAAAGGACUGAGCGGUCACUGAGAUGAUCCCUGUGUGCCUGGCUGUGCUGGAAACCUCACCAGCCAGGUCUCCUGCGCUGUGAGUGGGCCCUGCUCCACCAAUUCUUGGCCGAUGCAGAUUGAUAGAACAUUUGCUUUUUGACGAAGCCCAGCCUGGCAGCUAGAGUUUGCAUGGCCCUGAGAUACUGCAUAAUCUUUCUCAUCAUCAUCAAUGUGCAAAGUACUUCGGUAUCAUCACCUACCUGACUUCCUGUGGCUGGAAGCCUCACUUCUGUGUUCACGACUCAAAGCUAGCUAUUCGCCAGUCUGCCUGGGCUGUCAGACCCGGGGGCAGCAGAGAAUGGGGACUGGCUUUGGAGGAGGGAGAGGUACUCUAGCCUGCCCUCAACCUGGCUCUGGAGCUGAGCCCUGCAAAAGGUUGGAUCUUACUAGUUUCGCUUCUGGAGGACUCAGCAAUCUCCGGGUCCUGGGUUCUGGUUUCAAGUUGUCCGCAAACACUGCCAAGGACAAGAUGACUGGUGGUGCCACCAUGUGUUUCUGAAAAUAAGAAAGAACUGAAAAAUAAUCAGCCUUGAAAGCUAGAGAUAAAAAAUGCCAUGGCUGGGCAUUUAGCUCAGUGGUUCUGCUGCCUGCCUUGUAACCACAAGGUCCCGAGUUCGAUCCCUGGUACCCCCCCACCAAAAGAAAGCCAGCCCCAGGAAAACAGGCUGUCCACAUGCUGAAGAUUAAAUCUAGACCCACAUCUCUCACCGUGCACUAAACUAAAAUGGAAAUGGAUCAAAGAUCUAAAUAUAAAGACAGAAACAAUCUGCUGGAAGAGAGGUUAGGUGGAACUCUUGAAGACAUUGGCGUAGGAAAAGACUUUGUGAACAAAACCCUGAUUGCACGGGAGCUAUCACAAAGAAUCAACAACUGGGAUCUCAGCAUAUUAAAAAGCUUCUGCACAGCAAAAGAAAUCACUAAGAGGGUAAAGAGACAACCCACAGAAUGGGAAAAAUUUUUUUACUGGCUACUCCUCAGACAUAGGACUAAUAUCUAGAAUAUAUAAAAAACUAAAAACUAAAAACAAAAACAAAAAUCAGACCCCCCCAAACUUGAAGACCCAAUUCAAAAAUGGGCAUCUGAAAUGAACAGUCAUUUCUCAGAUGUAGAAGUACAAACAGGAGAUAAAUAUAUGAAAAAAUGCUUGACAUCACUGGUCAUUUGAGAAAUACAAAUUAAAACAACACUGAGAUUCCAUCUCACUCCAGAAAGAAUGGCUGUCAUCCAGAAAUCAGCCAAUAACAAAUGCCGGCGGGGGUGUGGGGAAAAAGGAACCCUUCUCCACUGUUGGUGGGAGUAUAAACUGGUGCAACCACUGUGGAAAUCAGUGUGGAAAUUCCUCAAAAAACUGGAACUAGAGGUUCCAUUUGACCCAGCUAUUCCCCUUCUAGGUAUCUUCCUGAAAGUUAAAAGCAUCGUACCACAGUGAUAUAUGCGUACUCAUGUUGAUAGCAGCACAAUUUAUAAUAGCUAAAUCUUGGAAACAGCCCAUAUGCCCAUUAAAAAAUGAAUGGAUCAAGAAAAUAGUACUCUGCCAUAAAGAAGGAUAAACUUGAAUCCUUUGUAGGAAAAUGGAUGCACCUUGAGACCAUAAUCUCAAGUGAAAUAAAUCAGACACACAAGUUUAAAUACCGCAUUGUUUCUCUUGAGAAACCCAAAGGGUAUAUGAUGAGGAACAUAGUGGAGGAUAGAUACUGUGAAGUAGGUAGAGAAUGUUCAAAUGGGAAGAGG
rnacentral:lncRNA from 1 species